rnacentral:rRNA from 1 species
AGAGCGAACGCUGGCGGCAGGCCUAACACAUGCAAGUCGAGCGCCCCGCAAGGGGAGCGGCAGACGGGAGAGUAACACGUGGGAACGUACCCUUCAGUUCGGAACAACCCAGGGAAACUUGGGCUAAUACCGAAUACGUCCGUAAGGAGAAAGAUUUAUCGCUGAAGGAUCGGCCCGCGUCUGAUUAGCUUGUUGGUGAGGUAAUGGCUCACCAAGGCUACGAUCAGUAGCUGGUCUGAGAGGAUGAUCAGCCUCACUGGGACUGAGACACGGCCCAGACUCCUACGGGAGGCAGCAGUGGGGAAUAUUGGACAAUGGGCGCAAGCCUGAUCCAGCCAUGCCGCGUGGGUGAUGAAGGCCCUAGGGUUGUAAAGCCCUUUCGGCGGGGAAGAUAAUGACGGUACCCGCAGAAGAAGCCCGGCUAACUUCGCGCCAGCAGCCGC